rnacentral:rRNA from 1 species
UACGGAGGGAGCAAGCGUUACUCGGAAUUAUUGGGCGUAAAGGGCGCGCAGGCGGCCACGCACGUCCGUUGUGAAAUCGCUCGGCUUAACUGGGCGGGGUCCAUGGAAACUGGUCACCUGGAGGUCGGUAGAGGCAAGUGGAAUUCCCGGUGUAGUGGUGAAAUGCGUAGAGAUCGGGAGGAACACCAGUGGCGAAGGCGGCUUGCUGGGCCGGACCUGACGCUGAGACGCGAAGGCGUGGGGAGCGAACGGG